UACAGAGGGUGCAAGCGUUAAUCGGAAUGACUGGGCGUAAAGAGCGCGUAGGCGGGAGAGCAAGUCUGCUGUGAAAGCCUGGAGCUUAACUCCAGAGGGUCGGUGGAUACUGCUUUUCUUGAAGGUGCGAGGGGGAGAUGGAAUUACCGGUGUAGCGGUGAAAUGCGUAGAGAUCGGUAGGAACACCUGUGGCGAAGGCGGUCUCCUGGGGCACUCUUGACGCUGAGGCGCGAAAGCUGGGGGAGCAAACGGG
rnacentral:rRNA from 1 species